GACGAACGCUGGCGGCGUGCCUAAUACAUGCAAGUUGAGCGCUGAAGGUUGGUACUUGUACCGACUGGAUGAGCAGCGAACGGGUGAGUAACGCGUGGGGAAUCUGCCUUUGAGCGGGGGACAACAUUUGGAAACGAAUGCUAAUACCGCAUAAAAACUUUAAACACAAGUUUUAAGUUUGAAAGAUGCAAUUGCAUCACUCAAAGAUGAUCCCGCGUUGUAUUAGCUAGUUGGUGAGGUAAAGGCUCACCAAGGCGAUGAUACAUAGCCGACCUGAGAGGGUGAUCGGCAACAUUGGGACUGAGACACGGCCCAAACUCCUACGGGAGGCAGCAGUAGGGAAUCUUCGGCAAUGGACGAAAGUCUGACCGAGCAACGCCGCGUGAGUGAAGAAGGUUUUCGGAUCGUAAAACUCUGUUGGUAGAGAAGAACGUUGGUGAGAGUGGAAAGCUCAUCAAGUGACGGUAACUACCCAGAAAGGGACGGCUAACUACGUG
rnacentral:rRNA from 1 species